UGGGAAUGAAAUGCCUUGGAGGUCCUGA
rnacentral:piRNA from 1 species